GGUGACUAUAGCAAGGAGGUCACACCUGUUCCCCAUGCCGAACACAGAAGUUAAGCUCCUUAGCGUCGAUGGUAGUCGAACUUACGUUCCG
rnacentral:rRNA from 1 species